AGAGUUUGAUCCUGGCUCAGGAUGAACGCUGGCGGCGUGCCUAAUACAUGCAAGUCGAACGGGGAGUACAUACUUCGGUUUAUACUCCUAGUGGCGAACGGGUGAGUAACGCGUUGGUGACCUGCCCCGAAGAGGGGGACAACAGCUCGAAAGGGCUGCUAAUACCCCAUGUGGUCGUACAGGUUAGAGGCUGAACGACUAAAGGAGUAAUCCACUUCGGGAGGGGCCUGCGUCCCAUCAGCUAGUUGGUAAGGUAACGGCCUACCAAGGCGAAGACGGGUAGGGGACCUGAGAGGGUGGCCCCCCACACUGGCACUGAAACACGGGCCAGACACCUACGGGUGGCAGCAGUAGGGAAUAUUGCACAAUGGGCGAAAGCCUGAUGCAGCAACGCCGCGUGCGCGAAGAAGGCCUUCGGGUUGUAAAGCGCUUUUCUGGAGGAAGAGAAAGGACGGUACUCCAGGAAUAAGGAUCGGCUAACUACGUGCCAGCAGCCGCGGUAACACGUAGGAUCCGAGCGUUAUCCGAAUUUACUGGGCGUAAAGCGCGUGUAGGCGGCCGGGUAAGUUGGACGUGAAAACUCCUGGCUCAACUAGGAGAGGUCGUUCAAAACUGCCUGGCUAGAGGGCGACAGAGGGAGGUGGAAUUCCCGGUGUAGUGGUGAAAUGCGUAGAUAUCGGGAGGAACACCAGUGGCGAAGGCGGCCUCCUGGGUCGCCCCUGACGCUCAGACGCGAAAGCUAGGGGAGCAAACGGGAUUAGAUACCCCGGUAGUCCUAGCUGUAAACGAUGUGGACUUGGCGUUGGUGGGG
rnacentral:rRNA from 1 species